CUUGGUUGCUUCCAUCUUUUCAGUCACAGUCGCAAGUGCCAUUGUCCUUUGGCCUCGGAGCAGCCUAGUACGAGUGGGCAAGCUAUGCGUCGCACCACCCGUCCCACUGCCGGUCAUCAUUCGAAUGUUCAUCGGCUUCCUCAGCCUGCGAGUAGUACGGCUGGUGGUCUGGUUGGGAGACCUCCAGACCCAACGUUAAAUCUUCCAUCGGUCAUUUUUCGGUCUUGGUCGUGACCUAAAAGGCCGCCUUUACCGUCGGGACGACGAUACAAAAGCGAAGGGUAGAUGUGACCGGAUGAGGUUUUUCCCCUCCCUCUUACCUGCACACAGGAGGGUGGAUCAGCAUACCUGCGGCUCAUUCCGAUUGAUUGGAAGAGGCGGGGACAUUAUUUAAGCCUGUGUGUGUGGACUCGUUCUGUUUGUCUUCUCCUGCUGGGUGUCUGUGGAGACGUGUCCAGGUUGGCGUGCUUUGUUUUUGCAGCUGCCCUAAGUCGUCAGUCUGCUGCGGUGUGGUAAGGGCACUUUUUCCAUCUUUUGUGCCUUUUUAUUGUUCCAUGUCGCCGUGCAUGUGGCACUAAUGUGCAUUCUUUCAUAUAGCUGACCCUGUCGUGGUUGCGGAUGUCUCGGUGUGGGUGGAUGUAUGCCUGGGCUGCUGGCGUUGGGUGUCUCGUGUGGGCCGCUGUGUGUGUGCGCGAGGUGGGUGCCUCCGCCGGGGUCUGAGGGUGGCCUGUCCUGUAAUUCGCUGGACCGGGCUGCAGCCUUAUACAUGCUGCUGUGGGGCUAUCGUGGUGCCACGACUAAUUAAAGGGCCAGUACUCCCGGCGCGUUCUUCCCCCACUGAAGCUGUUUUGGAUUCCGGUAAAAGUUUCUGGAUUCCGGCAAAACUGUUCUGAAUUCCGGUAAAACUGUUCUUGAGUCCGAUAAAAGUUUCCUGGACACUAGUACAAAAAUGGUCUGAAUACUUGUACAAAAGCGGUUUGGAUAUAUUGUAGGCUAUUAACUGUUGUAUAUAUUGCAUGUGGGUUUCUUUUU